rnacentral:rRNA from 1 species
AAGUAUGAAAUUGUGCGCAAACAAGUCUGGAGACUUAUUGAGCAUAAUAACUCAUUGUGCGCAAGGAUGCUCCGAUCUAAAUACUAUCCAACGGGAGAAUUGCUCAAUUGUGGACUGAAGAACGGCGCCUCCUUUGUAUGGCAGAGCAUAUGGGUGGGAGCUCAAACAUUUAGGAAAGGAUGCAUUUGGAGGGUUGGCAAUGGCCUAGGAGGGAGUAUAUGGGAGGACUGCUGGAUUCUUAAUAGUUCCUCCAGGAAAAUUGUGACGCCUCGAGGAAAUAGAGUCCUUACUCGUGUCAAUGAACUUAUUAACCCAGCGUCCGGGGAGUGGGAUGAAUAGCUCAUCAAAGAUAACUUCUGGCCCAUCGACGUUGAUCGGAUACUACAGAUUCCCUUGCACCAGGGAGACACGGAGGACUAUGUGGCAUGGCACUUGACAAAGUCACGUAAUUUUAGUAUUCGAUCGGCUUACUAUAAGAAGUGGGAAGAUUUUUAUGGAAGUACAAAUCACAGCUCUCUCUCAAGUGCUUCAGUUACCCAUCCGAUUUGGAAGAAGCUAUGAGGUCUAAAAGUGCAAAGCAAGAUGAAAAUCUUUGUAUGGCAGGCAUUACACAAUGCCAUUCCUUGCUUUGGCGUUCUGGCAAAUCGCCACAUCUCGACAUCGGCACAAUGCCCAGUAUGUAAGCUGCAUUCGGAGGAUGUGGCACAUGCGUUGUUUGGAUGCACGAGAGCCGGCUGA